UGCGGGGUGGUCUAAGUGGCAAGACGCCCGGCUUUGGACCGGGAAAUUCCAGGUUCGAGUCCUGGCCCCGCAG
rnacentral:tRNA from 1 species